GAUGAACGCUGGCGGCGUGCCUAAUACAUGCAAGUCGAGCGAACAGACGAGGAGCUUGCUCCUCUGACGUUAGCGGCGGACGGGUGAGUAACACGUGGAUAACCUACCUAUAAGACUGGGAUAACUUCGUGAAACCGGAGCUAAUACCGGAUAAUAUAUUGAACCGCAUGGUUCAAUAGUGAAAGACGGUUUUGCUGUCACUUAUAGAUAGAUUCGCGCCGCAUUAGCUAGUUUGUAAUGUAACGGCUUACCAAGGCGACGAUGCGUAGCCGACCUGAGAGGGUGAUCGGCCACACUAGAGCUGAGACACGGACCAGACUCCUACGGGAGGCAGCGGUAGGGAAUCUUCCGCAAUGGGCGAAAGCCUGACGGAGCGACGCCGCGUGAGUGAUGAAGGGCUUCGGAUCGUAAGACUCUGUUAUUAGGGAAGAACAAAUGUGUGAGUAACUAUGCACGUCUUGACGGUACCUAAUCAGAAAGCCACGGCUAACUACGUG
rnacentral:rRNA from 1 species